rnacentral:rRNA from 1 species
AUACGGCGGAUGCGAGCGUUAUCCGGAUUUAUUGGGUUUAAAGGGUGCGUAGGCUGUGCGUUAAGUCAGGGGUGAAAUGCCGUCGCUCAACGACGGAGCUGCCCUUGAUACUGGCGUGCUGGAGUACGGAUGCCGUUGGAGGAAUGAGUGGUGUAGCGGUGAAAUGCUUAGAUAUCACUCAGAACACCGAUUGCGAAGGCAUCUGACGAAUCCGUCACUGACGCUGAGGCACGAAAGCGUGGGGAUAGAACAGGAUUAGAUACCCUGGUAUUCCACGCCGUAAACGAUGAUGACUAACCGUCGGCGAUAGACAGCCGGUGGCCAAGCGAAAGCGAUAAGUCAUCCACCUGGGGAGUACGUCGGCAACGAUGAAACUCAAAGGAAUUGACGGGG